AGGCAGGUCUAGUAUAAGCAAUUUAUACCGUGAAACUGCGAAUGGCUCAUUAAAUCAUUUAUCGUUUAUUUGAUAGUACCUUACUACUUGGAUAACCGUGGUAAUUCUAGAGCUAAUACAUGCUAAAACCCCCCACCUCGGAGGGGGUGUAUUUAUUAUAUUAAAAACCAAUGCCCUUCGGGGCUCUUUGGUGAUUCAUAAUAACUUAACGAAUCGCAUGGCCUUGUGCCGGCGAUGGUUCAUUCAAAUUUCUGCCCUAUCAACUUUCGAUGGUAGUAUAUGGGACUACCGUGGUUUCAACGGGUAACGGGGAAUUAGGGUUCUAUUCCGGAGAGGGAGCCUGAGAAACGGCUACCACAUCCAAGGAAGGCAGCGGGCGCGCAAAUUACCCAAUCCCGACACGGGGAGGUAGUGACAAUAAAUACUGAUGCAGGGCUCUUUUGGGUCUUGUAAUUGGAAUGAGUACAAUUUAAAUCCCUUAACGAGGAACAAUUGGAGGGCAAGUCUGGUGCCAGCACCCGCGGUAAUACCAGCUCCAAUAGCGUAUAUUAAAGUUGUUGCAGUUAAAAAGCUCGUAUUUGAACCUUGGGCCUGGCUGGCCGGUCCGCCUCACCGCGUGCACUGGUCCGGCCGGGUCUUUCCUUCUGGAGAGCCGCAUGCCCUUCACUGGGUGUGUCGGAGAACCAAGACUUUUACUUUGAAAAAAUUAGAGUGUUCAAAGCACGCCUAUGCUCGAAUACAUUAGCAUGGAAAUAAUAGAAUAGGACGUGUGGCUCUAUUUUGUUGGUUUCUCAGACCGCCGUAAUGAUUAAUAGGGGAUGGUCGGGGGCAUCAGUACUCAUGUGUCAGAGGUGAAACUUCGUGGUUUUUAUUGAAGACUAACUACUGCGAAAGCAUUUGCCAGAGGAUGUUUUUCAUUAAUCAGGGAACGAUGUUAGGGAUCGAAGACGAUCAGAUACCGUCGUAUCUAACCAUAAACUAUGCCGACUAAGGAUCGGCGAUGUUAUUUUUUAUGACUCUCGACACUAAGAAAAUCAAUCUUUGGUCUCGGGGAUUGCCAAGGCAC
rnacentral:rRNA from 1 species